rnacentral:rRNA from 1 species
CUCGUAGGCGGCCAACUAAGUCAGACGUGAAAUCCCUAGGCUCAACCUAGGAACUGCGUCUGAUACUGGAUGGCUUGAAUCCGGGAGAGGGAUGCAGAAUUCCAGGUGUAGCGGUGAAAUGCGUAGAUAUCUGGAGGAAUACCGGUGGCGAAGGCGGCAUCCUGGACCGGCAUUGACGCUGAGGAGCGAAAGCUAGGGGAGCAAACG